rnacentral:rRNA from 1 species
AGCGAACGCUGGCGGCAGGCCUAACACAUGCAAGUCGAACGAAGUCUUCGGACUUAGUGGCGGACGGGUGAGUAACACGUGGGAACGUGCCUUUAGGUUCGGAAUAACUCAGGGAAACUUGUGCUAAUACCGAAUGUGCCCUUCGGGGGAAAGAUUUAUCGCCUUUAGAGCGGCCCGCGUCUGAUUAGCUAGUUGGUGAGGUAAAGGCUCACCAAGGCUACGAUCAGUAGCUGGUCUGAGAGGACGACAAGCCACAUUGGGACUGAGACACGGCCCAAACUCCUACGGGAGGCAGCAGUGGGGAAUCUUGCACAAUGGGCGAAAGCCUGACGCAGCCAUGCCGCGUGGAUGAUGAAGGUCUUAGGAUUGUAAAAUCCUUUCACCGGUGAAGAUAAUGACUGUAGCCGGAGAAGAAGCCCCGGCUAACUUCGUGCCAGCCGCCGCGGUAACAC